UAGUGACAUCACUGUACAAACAAGGAAGUCCUCGUCUCGUCCAGCUGUGGGAUUUACCGCGAAGUUUAAUACCAAACCACACAUGGCGGACAAAUACCCUAAAUCUAAGCUGAAGAGAAAGAAAUCCGCUGUGAUCGAGCCUCAAGGGGACAGAUACAAAAAAGAUUCUUUGAUGAAGUUUAGUAUACCGUUCAAUUCCCCUGAUCUUACCAAAGAAGUAAAGACUGACAGGAGCAAAGGAAAUAGGGGAACAGUGUCUCCAACCCUACCAUGGUGGACUCGAAACGAUCUGAAUUCGUCAGAAAAGCUAUGGGCCAGCGCAAUAGAGACAGUUCUCCCUUUCCUGGGUUCUGAGUACUGGGACCCCCUCCCAGAACCCUCCGCAGCGACUUCCAGGAAGAGCGAACGCCAGCCACCCACUCCCGCCAAUGAAGUCCCCCCUUUCCCUGAACCCUCCAGACCCCCAGGAUCCCCUCUCCGAAGUCCCCCCCGACCCCUCGAUACCCACUCCCCAGCGCAACCCGUCGAACCCUCACCCCCCGCUAGUCCUCCGGUGACCCCUCCUCAGGGCGGAGGAGGAGGUGGGCUCCAGGUCCCAGAGACCACAGCGGCCAGUCCCUCCUCCCUGGUGGUCUAUUCACCACCAGGGAGGAGGGAGGACUCGAGACCAGCCCCGACCCAGAAGGAGGUCCCGGCUGGCAGAGAGUCGGUCCCUGAGAAGACGCGGCGAACGGGGGAUCUCGCUGGCAGGCCGGUACGGCCAUUCCCGCUUUGGGGCGGGUCCGCCGCCAGAGCUUGUGAGCUCCCCCCGGUGGUGCCCCCCUUUUCAGGGGAGCACCUGGCAGAGAGGGGGGAGACGAUGGGGGGAGUGCAGGAGGCCACGUUGGAUGAGAGGGUGGAGGAGGCGGGACCAUCUGGGGCUCAGCGACAGGGUGGCGGCAAGGGGGAUGGACCGAAGGAGGCGGAGCUAGGAGAAGGAGGGCGAGAACGAACCCAGUGUUGCCCCAUGUGUACGCUGGUGUUCCCAAGCAGGUUCAGCCAGAUGGACUGUGACAGCCACCUGGCCCAGUGUCUGUCCGAGAUGAACGUCGACAUGGCCUGGUGAGAGUGGCUAUUGGAUGGGGUGGGGGGUUGGCCCUGGCCCUCCCCCAACCAAUAGGGUUGGCCCUGGAACCCUCCAAACCAAUCAGGAAGUGGCCUGGGGGCCAGAAGGGAACAUAAAAGGGUUGAGGGGAGCGGGACCCCGGGUUUCAGAGGGAGGCCAGGGGUCCUGAGAUCACAGCACCUGUCAGACCCACUGAGUGUGUGGGUGUUUGUGUGUGUCCUUGCGUCUGUGUGCAUGCGUAUGUGCGUGUCUGUACGUGUGAGAGAGAGUGUGUGUGAGUGUGUACUGUAUAUAGGAGAAAGAAUCAACAGCCCUGGUUGAUUUAACUGCUGCUCUUCUACAUUUUCUGACUUUAGUUUUUUGUUAUUUUUUCUUAUUGUAGUAGUGUUCUUGAUUUCUACUACUGCACGCAAAGGAGUUACUCAUUAAAAAGAAGCACAUAUACACAAAGACACACACACACAACACAGACAUAUGUACAAAAGUCCCCCCCUUCAUCGCCUUUCAAAUCCCACCCGGUCGAUUCCUCCCUCAACAUUUCUUUGUCUGCAUGUCAAAGGCCAAACAAUAAUGCGCCGAUAGAACAGGGUUUUAUCUAAUCUUCCAUCACCAGGGCAACUUUUUACAAGAGCAUUCAAACAGGAAGUUAGUGCCUCUGCCCUCAGGCAGACCACACUGUGUGCGUGUUAGUGUGUGUGUGUGUGUGUGUGUGUGUGUGUGUGUGUGUGUGUGUGUGUGUGUUUUCUUCUGUUUAUGUGGAGGUUGCGUGAGUGUCCUUGAGUCCACAUGCAUUGUGCGUGUGUAUAUAUGUGUGCGCGCCGCCAUGCGUACGUAUGUGUGUGUCUGUGCACCCGCGUGCACGUGUGUGGGACAGUAGUAGCCGGGCGGCAAAUGAUAUUCAAGCAUGUCUCCCCCCCUCCCCCCCUACCCCAACCCCCUCCCUCCCUCCCUCCCUGGAGAGUGGCAUGUCGGUGAUUAACAUUAAUAUUAAUAUGAAUGCAGCCGUCAGGAACAUGAGACGGGAGAUAAGCAGCGUGUCAGGUGUGCGGGCCCCCGGGAGCCCCUCAGAGAGAGACGCAGCCCCCCCCCCCCCCCCCCCCCCCAACGACAACAACUCUCUACACUCUCUACUGCACCCCUUUCAGGUACGCGGGGUGACAGGGUGAGGGUGCUUGGGUGGGAGGAGCUGCCAUGUUGUGGUGUUGACAGGGUGACGGUGGGGCGUUUUUUUUUUUUUUUUGCCCUUGAUGUCAUAAAGUCGCGCUCAGCGUUUGUGUUGCGCUUGAUGGGUCGGCCCUGUCAGUGCUCGUUAAGACUGCUUUUAUUAGUCUGUUUUUAUACGGAUCCCCACCACACACACACACACACACACACACACACACACACACACACACACCCCUCAAUGCUUGUUGGCUCGUUAGGUGUUAACUGUGUGAUACACAGUAGUCGAGUAUUCCCUGGGACAGGUGGUAAUGAAGUCCGUCCAGUGAGUUCAGGGCAUGGAUUUUUGAUUGGGGUCUUAGUUCACCUAGACUGGGUUCAGAGUUAACCUAGACUCUGCAUAUCGCCCCCCAUCCCACCGUCCUGCCACUUAAUGUACGCACUUAUUGUAUGUCGUACUUAGUUACAGUACUUUGUCGUGUAACAUCUUAUCCUAGCUAUCUUUGUUGCAUACGGGAGAUGGGUUUACCUAGUGAUUGUUAGUGCUUUGCACCUGUACCGACAGCAAUAUAUUGUUUCACCUACUUCUGAGAAAUGUACUUAUUGUGAGUCGCCUCAUUGUAAGUACUUAUUGUAAAGGGUCUGCUAAAUGCCCUAAAUGUUAAUGUCUUCUAGGCGGGACACAUCAUCCCUAAAAUCACCAAACACAGAAUCUCAUCUCCAAGAUUCUGCCUUUAAAGGAUCUUUCAAGUUUUUGGAUUCUGCUAUUGAUAUCAUACGGUAUUCCAGAAUGCCUUUUUCUUUAUAAAAACAAAAUAAAAAAACGUCCAGGAAUAUUGGACGGUGUUUCCACAGAGGGGAACGUUACUUGAUGGGGUGAUAAGAUAUCCGCUGCGUGAUUGGUUGAGGUGGAAGCAGUCUGAAAACGAUCCAGACUAUCUGAAAGGGUGUCCCCGUCUUCUACACCAUCUUGUCUGUACUUCAUGCGCAGCGGCUGCAUUCAUGUCCUCCUGCAGGUCAUCUUAGUCUAAUGUACCCCCAGGUGCUGGCUGGCCUCGUUUCAGCACAGACCCGCUCCCUCGGAGGUUAUAUAUAACACGACGGGCCGUCCUUUAAUGCAGAGCACAAAGGACCUUGUAUAGGGCGACAAAAUGUCGUCCAAUAUAUAAAUAAUAAUAAAAAAUAUAAAUAUAUACAUACAGUGGGGACGGGAUGGUCUAGUGCUAAGCGUGUUCAACUAGCAAGAUAAACCUCAACCCUACCUGCUCCUAAUGUAGUUCACAUCUGAUGAAUGACUGAAUACUGAAUACACUGGUGUGUAUAGUAGAUUGGUUGCGUCUCCUAAAAAACGAUGUUAUCCAGGUUUGAUUAUCUUUUGCGAUUCAGUCAGUUCGACCAUCGUUGCCUUUUCAACAUUUAACACGCACGCACAAAGACACACACCCGCACACACACACACACACACACGCGCACACACACACACACACACACAGACAUAGGGAUUGAUCCACUGAAAGCAAAGUUUCCAGAUGCAGGAAGUUGGAAGUGAUGGCGGUUGUGUGAGAAGGCGCUCCCCUAUCAUCAUUAGCCGAGCCUUGCAGAGAGGUGUGCUGAAUAUUGUAUGGACCCCCAUUCCACUUUCAUGUUGCGUUCAAACACCCAUGUACGUCACUCCCACGCCACCGAUCAAGCAACUUCUGCUUUAAAGCACACACACACACACACGCACGCGCACACACACACACACACACAAAGUCGAGCAGUGUGUGUGCGCAUAUGAUUAGGAAUUCACUUUUAUUUGUGCUGUUGCUGUGAGAGAGGGCAGACUGUGCACCAUGUCUACAACCGUCUCAUCCAUUUUUUAACACACACACACAGACACACACACGCACACAUGCACGCACACAACAAAGGGCCCUGAUGAUGGUGAUGACGUUAAGACAAACAAUAGAAGCUGACUGUCAUUUUUGGUUAUUUAAAUUCCUCAUAUCACAGACAACUGUUGUAAAAUUAAAAUACUCAAAUUAAUUCAGAUCAUAAAGCCAAACAAAGAACGAAUUGUUGGAUUGUGGUUGCUGAAUUACCAUGGGAUCUCGUUUAAAUAUUGGAAUGCCGCUCAACAACUGUACAGUAGAUCCUUUCUCAAAAAUAGCUUGCUAUGUACAGGAAAGCAUUAGCAUAGUCGGGUACCACAUUGCCCCCCCCCAACCCUGAGGAGACAGUAUCUUAAGGAAAAGAAGUGGUCGCCCCGGUAACCAGAGGGAUGGAUGGCUAGUUUGAUCCUCAGCCACACAUUGCUAAAUGCUGAACUGCCUAUGAGCAGCAAGCCCCACCCCUGUCCCACCCUGACUGUUGGCUACCGUGCACGGCCAGAGACAUGCUUGUCCACGUGUGAAAGGGUGAAUCUGUGUAAGAAUGUAUGACAUGGUGAAUGUCUGACUGGUGUAUGUCUGAACAAGUCUGUGGGACUAUCAAGGCAUGCACGCAUGAAUGUGUGUAUACAUCUGUGAACUUGUAAAUGUUUGCAUGUGUGAAGGUUUGAGUGUGUGAAUUUAUGAUUGAAUGAAUGCAUGUCUGUUUGUGUGGGUGAAAGGAUGAACGUGCAGACAGCCCGGAUAAGACUGUCACCGGGUGAACUGUCUUUCUGUUUAUAGGCUGUGGGGUCUCACCUGCUCCCAGUCGAUGGUGCGGAAGAAGGUGUGAGACUUGAUGUCCGUGAAGCCCGUCUCCACCUGGCACCCCAGCCGCUCCUUCGGGUCCUGGGGAGGAGACACAGGUCAUGUGACCACCCUGGUUCCAUUGUCUGUGUGAUCUUCAAACCUUUGGCUGGAUUCACAUGUGUGGUUUUCUGUCUGGAUCUAAUGUUCGCUGUAUGCCACUUGGGAUAAAACCGUCUGCUAAAGGAAAUGUUGAAUAGUAGAUUGUCUUUAUUAGCAUUGUGCGAGCCAGUAGUGUAGUGCUAGACACACUGUGUUUUUCAUCGUCUUUCAAGCACAACAUGAAUCUCUUGUGUUGGUUUGUAUCCAUGGUUCACACCCUCAUGUGGGAAAUCAGUCAGUAUGGGAAAUAUAUACAUGAAGAGGACAUGCUUAUUAAUUGUAUAAAUGAUUAAAGCCUGGAUUUAAUCAUUUAAAAAAACUUGUAA